CAGUCUAAUUGCAGAAUAUGUUAUAAACACAGUCUAGGUGCAGAAGAUGUUACAGUAUAAACACAGUCUAGGUGCAGAAGUUGUUAUAAACACAGUCUAAUUGCAGAAUAUGUUAUAAACACAGUCUAGGUGCAGAAGAUGUUACAGUAUAAACACAGUCUAGGUGCAGAAGAUGUUCAUUUAUUUAUAACUUUACCUUUGCCUGUAAAUAUUCCUCCAUUAUUUUUCAUAUUUAG